AGAGUUGAUCAUGGCUCAGGACGAACGCUGGCGGCGUGCCUAAUACAUGCAAGUCGAACGAACUGUGGAAAGCUUGCUUUUCAGAGUUAGUGGCGAACGGGUGAGUAACACGUAAGUAACCUAGCUAUUAGACGAGGAUAACUACUGGAAACGGUAGCUAAGACUGGAUAUGAUAGAAAUAUUUAAAGGAUGCUAAGGCAUCGCUAAUAGAGGGGCUUGCGGCGCAUUAGCUAGUUGGUAGGGUAAAAGCCAACCAAGGCGAUGAUGCGUAGCCGACCUGAGAGGGUGACCGGCCACACUGGGACUGAGACACGGCCCAGACUCCUACGGGAGGCAGCAGUAGGGAAUCUUCGGCAAUGGACGAAAGUCUGACCGAGCAACGCCGCCGUGAGUGAAGAAAGUUUUCGGAUCGUAAAGCUCUGUUAUUAGGGAAGAAAGGCUCUAGGAGGAAAUGCUUAGGGAUUGACGGUACCUAAUGAGGAAGCCACGGCUAACUACGUGCCAGCCGCGGC
rnacentral:rRNA from 1 species